rnacentral:tRNA from 1 species
GGCCUCGUAGCUCAGGGGUUAGAGCACUGGUCUCGUAAACCAGGGGUCGUGAGUUCGAAUCUCACCGGGGCCU